rnacentral:lncRNA from 1 species
UGGGAUUACAGGUGUGAGCUACUGCCCUGACCAGAUUUUUUUUUUUUUUUUAAAUAGCAUAAAGGGAGUCGUUUGAGAGAGAAGUCUGGAAUUCCAUGGAAGUAGAGAGAAGCACAUCUGAGGUACCACUCAGGAGAAGGAGGAGACUUCGCAGAAGCACGACACGCUGCAAAACACGUUUCUUCUUUUCUCACUGUCCAGAUGGCAGCUUCAGCUUGAGUCCUGGCCCAGUUGCCAGCUGGAAGCUCAGAGUGGCUUCUGCAUGUAGACUGAAAUCCACCUCCCCUGAGCCCUCCCAGGCCUGAGCUUUGGACUGCUGCGGGAGGAUGCUGGUCCUUCGGCUCCUGACGCUCUUUGCUGUAACCCCUCCUCCUC